rnacentral:rRNA from 1 species
UGGGGAAUAUUGGACAAUGGGCGCAAGCCUGAUCCAGCAAUGCCGCGUGGGUGAAGAAGGCCUUCGGGUUGUAAAGCCCUUUCAGCAGGGAAGAAAAGCUUCAGGCGAAUAGCCUGGGGUGCUGACGGUACCUGCAGAAGAAGCACCGGCUAACUCCGUGCCAGCAGCCGCGGUAAUACGGAGGGUGCGAGCGUUAAUCGGAAUUACUGGGCGUAAAGGGCGCGUAGGCGGCUGUGUAAGUCGGGUGUGAAAGCCCCGGGCUCAACCUGGGAAUUGCAUUCGAUACUGCAUGGCUGGAGUGUGGUAGAGGGAAGCGGAAUUCCGGGUGUAGCGGUGAAAUGCGUAGAUAUCCGGAGGAACAUCAGUGGCGAAGGCGGCUUCCUGGACCAACACUGACGCUGAGGCGCGAAAGCGUGGGGAGCAAACAGGAUUAGAUACCCGUGUAGUCC